AACGAACGCUGGCGGCAUGCCUAACACAUGCAAGUCGAACGAGACCUUCGGGUCUAGUGGCGCACGGGUGCGUAACGCGUGGGAACCUGCCCUUAGGUUCGGAAUAACUCCCCGAAAGGGGUGCUAAUACCGGAUAAUGUCUUCGGACCAAAGAUUUAUCGCCAUUGGAUGGGGCCGCGUUGGAUUAGCUGGUUGGUAGGGUAAAAGGCUACCAAGGCUACGAUCCAUAGCUGGUCUGAGAGGAUGAUCAGCCACACUGGGACUGAGACACGGCCCACGCUACUAAGGGGAGCAGCAGUGGGGAAUAUUGGCGAAUGGCCGAAAGCGUGAUCCAGCAAUGGCGCGUGAGUGAUGAAGGCUUUAGAGUUGUAACGCUCUUUUAGAAGGGAUGAUAAUGACAGUACCGGGAGAAUAAGCUCCGGCUAACUACGUG
rnacentral:rRNA from 1 species